rnacentral:rRNA from 1 species
GUGACAGCCGCCGCGGUAAGACAGAGGGUGCAAACGUUGCUCGGAAUCACUGGGCGUAAAGGGCGUGUAGGCGGGAAAGUAAGUCGGGCGUGAAAUCCCCAGGCUCAACCUGGGAACUGCACUCGAAACUACUUUCCUUGAGUGUCGGAGAGGAAAGCGGAAUACCUGGUGUAGAAGUGAAAUUCGUAGAUAUUAGGAAGAACACCAGUGGCGAAGGCGGCUCACUGGCCCGGUACUGACGCUGAGGCGCGAAAGCGUGGGGAGCAAACAGGAUUAGAAACCCCUGUAGUCC